GUGAGGAAUAUUGGUCAAUGGGCGGAAGCCUGAACCAGCCAUCCCGCGUGGAGGAAGACGGCCCUAUGGGUUGUAAACUUCUUUUCAAGGGGAAGAAAGUUCGCGACGUGUCGCGAUUUGCCGGUACCUUUGGAAUAAGCAUCGGCUAACUCCGUGCCAGCAGCCGCGGUAAUACGGAGGAUGCGAGCGUUAUCCGGAUUUAUUGGGUUUAAAGGGUGCGUCGGCCGAUCGAUAAGUCAGCGGUGAAAUACCAUGGCCCAACCAUGGAACUGCCGUUGAUACUGUCGGUCUUGAAUAUGGUCAAGGUAGGCGGAAUGUGUAAUGUAGCGGUGAAAUGCUUAGAUAUUACACAGAACACCGAUUGCGAAGGCAGCUUACUGGUCCAUUAUUGACGCUGAGGCACGAAAGCGUGGGGAUCGAACAGGAUUAGAUACCCUAGUAGUCC
rnacentral:rRNA from 1 species